UAGGGAAUCUUCCGCAAUGGGCGAAAGCUUGACGGAGCAACGCCGCGUGAGUGAUGAAGGUCUUCGGAUCGUAAAACUCUGUUAUUAGGGAAGAACAAAUGUGUAAGUAACUAUGCACGUCUUGACGGUACCUAAUCAGAAAGCCACGGCUAACUACGUGCCAGCAGCCGCGGUAAUACGUAGGUGGCAAGCGUUAUCCGGAAUUAUUGGGCGUAAAGCGCGCGUAGGCGGUUUUUUAAGUCUGAUGUGAAAGCCCACGGCUCAACCGUGGAGGGUCAUUGGAAACUGGAAAACUUGAGUGCAGAAGAGGAAAGUGGAAUUCCAUGUGUAGCAGUGAAAUGCGCAGAGAUAUGGAGGAACACCAGUGGCGAAGGCGACUUUCUGGUCUGUAACUGACGCUGAUGUGCGAAAGCGGGGGGAUCAAACAGG
rnacentral:rRNA from 1 species